UACAGAGGUCUCAAGCGUUGUUCGGAUUCAUUGGGCGUAAAGGGUGCGUAGGCGGCGGGGCAAGUCGGAUGUGAAAUCUCAGGGCUCAACCCUGAAACUGCAUUCGAUACUGCCUUGCUCGAGGACUGGAGAGGAGAUUGGAAUUCACGGUGUAGCAGUGAAAUGCGUAGAUAUCGUGAGGAAGACCAGUGGCGAAGGCAGCUCGCUGGAACGGUACUGACGCUGAGGCGCGAAAGCGUGGGGAGCGAACAGG
rnacentral:rRNA from 1 species